ensembl:lncRNA
GUUUACACACCUCCUGGAUCCUGAUUGGUGUCGCUGCUGCAGCCGCAAGGCACUGAUUGGAUGCUCACAGACCGUAAUACAGCGCAGAUGAAAAUGAUUCAGACUACAGCGUUUAUAUGUUAAACAAUAGGAAACGUAGUCUUAGCUGUUUUAAAAUUACACCAAGUUUAUUUCGGAUUAUUCCAACUGAAGAAUACAAGCCGCAGGGAACUUUGAGGUGCGUAAACGCUAUUUAUAGGUGCGUAAACGCUAUUUCCAAAAUUCCAGAGGUGCGUAAACGGCGUUUACGUGCGUUUACCCUCCACCACAGCCCUGUUGGCUGGUGAGGCACCUUCUUGAAGAGCUCAUAAUACCAUAUUGUCCUACUAGAGAGCUGGGGUCUGUUUCAAGAAAGGCUGUAGAUAAGGCCAUGUUGAAAACCAGUGAGGUUAGGGGUUAGGGUUAGGGUUACAAAUGCAGUGCGAUCUAAAAACAAAUACAUACACAUCCACAAACAAAUAUGAAUAUACAUUGUAGCGCAGGGAUCCGUUUCAAGUAGGAGGUUUAACAAACUCUGAGUCAAACCCUAAACUCUGAGUUGAUUUACCCUGAGAUGUGAAACUCUGAGUUUUGGGUUUCUGAACAGCUGUUCAGAGUUGGUUUAAUCAACUCGGAGUAGGUUGACUCAGAGUUGAGCGCGUGCACCACCACAGUAUGAAGGCAGCGUGAAUGGAGCCACGAUACUACGAUUCACCAUGGCAACCACCACAAACAAUCGGUCGGGUACUUGAGCUGGAUGUAUUAAUGCAAGCGUACGCGAGUAUAAACCCGUAAUUAGAAAAAAAGUGACUGCAGCAAAAGACAGAGAAACGGCGUCGGAGAAAAUCCAGAGCGACGCACACGUUUCUCACGGCUCUGCAUACAGCAGCUUUACUGAUAUUAUAAUGUUGUAAAGGAAACUGACGUUUGCAAAAAAAGUAAUACUACACAAAAAAUGUGCUCGUAUGUGAGAGCCUGUCCACGAUGAGGGGCGUUACUUAUAUGAGGACAGGUGAGGUUGUACACAUUUGAUGGACUGACUAAUAAAAACGAUACCAUUCAAACAAGCAGUCACCUGGAAAUAACAAUAUAUCUAAUCGGGCCUCAAUAAUCUCUCCCGAUGUGUUUAACACCCUGCGAAGUAAAACCGCUUCUUCAUCAACAGGAUCGUCCUUUUCUGGACGUGCCAUGUUCAAGAAAACAAUUCAGUCUUUAACGUAACAGAUCUUAUUUUGUUCAUAUGUCUAAAUUGCACUAAAAAUCCGCCUGAUACAGAGUCAUUGAAUGAAUGAGGAAAUGAAAGUGUGCUGUGUGAUUGGCUGGGCUGCUGUCAGAGGGAGGAGACUGCGAAAGAAACUCAAGGUUUAUUGAAGAAAACCUGCUCCCGACCAGGUGAUGUUCACAGGCUCAGUUACCAUGGUGACUGACCCUGAGCUUUAGUUACCAUGGUGACUGAGCCUGAGCUUUUAGUUACCUCCCUUUGUGAAACAGACAAGCCAGAGUUUCCCUCAUCUCAGGGUUAACAAACUCUGAGUUUCCACUAAACCCGCUUCUUGAAACAGACCCCAGCUCUCUAGUAGGACAAUAUGGUAUUAUGAGCUCUUCAAGAAGGUGCCUCACCAGCAAACAGGGCUGUAGUGGAGGGUAAACGGACGUAAACGCCGUUUACGCACCUCUGGAAUUUUGGAAAUAGCGUUUACGCACCUCUAAAUAGCAUUUACGCACCUCAAAGUUCCC